rnacentral:rRNA from 1 species
AGUGGAUGGGGAGCAACCUAGUUGUGCGUGUGUAAAGGUAGUGCCAAGAAAAGCGAUGAUCAUGUUGAAAAUCAAUUCCCGGUACCCGAAACCGACACAGGUGGGCAAGUAGAGAAUACUAAGGGGCGCGAGGUAACUCUCUCCAAGGAACUCGGCAAAAUGACCCCGUAACUUAGGGAGAAGGGGUGCCACCGAGAGGUGGUCGCAGUGAAGAGGCCCAGGCGACUGUUUAGCAAAAACAUAGGUCUCUGCAAACUCGAAAGAGGAGGUAUAGGGGCUGACGCCUGCCCAGUGCCGGAAGGUUAAAGAAGUUGGUCAGUUUUAGGAUGAAGCUAGCGACUGAAGCCCCGGUGAACGGCGGCCGUAACUAUAACGGUCCUAAGGUAGCGAAAUUCCUUGUCGGGUAAGUUCCGACCCGCACGAAAGGCGUAACGAUCUGGGCGCUGUCUCGGAGAGAGGCUCGGCGAAAUAGGAUUGUCUGUGAAGAUACGGACUACCUGCACCUGGACAGAAAGACCCUAUGAAGCUUUACUAUAGCUUGGAAUUGUGUUCGGGCUUCCUGUGCGCAGGAUAGGUGGGAGGCGUAGAAGGUAUCCUUGUGGGGAUACUGGAGCCAACGGUGAGAUACCACUCUCAGGAGGCUAGAAUUCUAACUUAAUUAAGGACAGUUUCAGGUGGGUAGUUUGACUGGGGCGGUCGCCUCCAAAAAGGUAACGGAGGCGUACAAAGGUUCCCUCAGACUGGUUGGAAAUCAGUCGAAGAGUGCAAAGGCAGAAGGGAGCUUGUCUGCGAGAAGUACAGUUCGAGCAGGGUGGAAACACGGUCUUAGUGAUCCGACGGUGCUGUGUGGAAGGGCCGUCGCUCAACGGAUAAAAGUUACUCUAGGAUAACAGGCUGAUCUCCCCCAAGAGUUCACAUCGACGGGGAGGUUUGGCACCUCGAUGUCGGCUCAUCGCAACCUGGGGCGGAAGUACGUCCCAAGGGUUGGGCUGUUCGCCCAUUAAAGCGGUACGUGAGCUGGGUUCAGAACGUCGUGAGACAGUUCGGUCCAUAUCCGAUGUAGGCGUGAGAAUAUUGAGAGGAGCCUUCCUUAGUACGAGAGGACCGGGAAGGACGCACCGCUGGUGUACCUGUUAUGAUGCCAAUUGUAAACGCAGGGUAGCCAAGUGCGGAGAGGAUAACCGCUGAAAGCAUCUAAGUGGGAAGCCCACCUCAAGAUGAGUAUUCUGGUGUAAGGUCACGGGAAGACGACCCGUAAAUAGGCACGAGGUGGAAGUGCAGAGAUGUAUGAAGCCGAAGUGUACUAAUAGACCGUCGGCUUGACC